rnacentral:rRNA from 1 species
UGGGGAAUUUUGGACAAUGGGCGAAAGCCUGAUCCAGCAAUGCCGCGUGUGUGAAGAAGGCCUUCGGGUUGUAAAGCACUUUUGUCCGGAAAGAAAUCCUUGGCUCUAAUACAGUCGGGGGAUGACGGUACCGGAAGAAUAAGCACCGGCUAACUACGUGCCAGCAGCCGCGGUAAUACGUAGGGUGCAAGCGUUAAUCGGAAUUACUGGGCGUAAAGCGUGCGCAGGCGGUUUGCUAAGACCGAUGUGAAAUCCCCGGGCUCAACCUGGGAACUGCAUUGGUGACUGGCAGGCUAGAGUAUGGCAGAGGGGGGUAGAAUUCCACGUGUAGCAGUGAAAUGCGUAGAGAUGUGGAGGAAUACCGAUGGCGAAGGCAGCCCCCUGGGCCAAGUACUGACGCUCAUGCACGAAAGCGUGGGGAGCAAACAGGAUUAGAUACCCUGGUAGUCCACGCCCUAAACGAUGUCAACUAGUUGUUGGGGAUUCAUUUCCUUAGUAACGUAGCUAACGCGUGAAGUUGACCGCCUGGGGAGUACGGUCGCAAGAUUAAAACUCAAAUGAAUUGACGGGGUCAUAGCUGUUU